rnacentral:rRNA from 1 species
UACAGAGGUGGCAAGCGUUGUUCGGAAUCACUGGGCGUAAAGCGCACGUAGGCGGAUGUGUCAGUCAGGGGUGAAAUCCCGGGGCUCAACCUCGGAACUGCCUUUGAUACAGCACGUCUUGAGUCCGAUAGAGGUGGGUGGAAUUCCUAGUGUAGAGGUGAAAUUCGUAGAUAUUAGGAAGAACACCGGUGGCGAAGGCGGCCCACUGGAUCGGUACUGACGCUGAGGUGCGAAAGCGUGGGGAGCAAACAGG